rnacentral:rRNA from 1 species
GCAAUCCUGCGAGUAAAGUGGCAGACGGGUGAGUAACACGUGAACAAUCUACCUUCGAGUGGGGAAUAACCCCGCGAAAGCGGUGCUAAUACCCCAUAACAUCGCCGGGUCGCAUGGCCUGGCGAUCAAAGGUUUCGGCCGCUUGAAGAGGAGUUCGCGCCUGAUUAGCUAGUUGGUGAGGUAACGGCCCACCAAGGCAACGAUCAGUAGCCGGCCUGAGAGGGCGAACGGCCACACUGGAACUGAGACACGGUCCAGACUCCUACGGGAGGCAGCAGUGGGGAAUUUUGCGCAAUGGGCGAAAGCCUGACGCAGCAACGCCGCGUGGAGGAUGAAGGUCUUCGGAUCGUAAACUCCUGUCAGUAGGGACGAAUGUCCGAAAGGAUUUGACUGUACCUGCUGAGGAAGCCACGGCUAACUCCGUGCCAGCAGCCGCGGUAAUACGGAGGUGGCAAGCGUUGUUCGGAAUUAUUGGGCGUAAAGGGCGCGUAGGCGGCUUGGCAAGUCAGAUGUGAAAGCCCCGGGCUUAACUCGGGAAUUGCAUCUGAAACUGCCUUGCUUGAGUCCUGGAGGGGGUAGUGGAAUUCCCAGUGUAGCGGUGAAAUGCGUAGAUAUUGGGAGGAACACCUGUGGCGAAGGCGGCUACCUGGACAGUGACUGACGCUGAUGCGCGAAAGCUAGGGGAGCGAACGGGAUUAGAUACCCCGGUAGU